rnacentral:rRNA from 1 species
GCCUCAGUAACGGCGAGUGAAGCGGCAACAGCCCAGAUUUGAAAUCUGGCCCUCGGGCCCGAGUUGUAAUCUGCAGAUGAGUCUUCCGGCAGAGCGCCGUCCAAGUGCCCUGGAACGGGCCGCCGGAGAGGGUGAGAGCCCCGUACCGACGCGCGCCGAGCCUCUGUGAAGCUCAUUCGAAGAGUCGAGUAGUUUGGAAAUGCUGCUCUAAUUGUGGGGUAAAUCUCCCAUAAGGCUAAAUACCGGCCAGAGACCGAUAGCGCACAAGUAGCGUGAGCGAAAGAUGAAAAGAGCCUUGAACAAGGGCGUCAAAAAGCAUGUGAAAUUGUUGUGGGGGAAGCGUUCGAUGCCAGACAUGGCGGCGGUUGGUUACCCGGCGUUCUUCGCCGGCGCACUCUGCCGUCGCCAGGCCAGCAUCAGUUUGGAUCGAGGCCCACUGCCAGCGGGAACGUGGCUCUUUCGGGAGUGUUAUAGCCCGUUGGUAACGUCUCGGACCAGACUGAGGACCGCGCUUCGGCUCGGAUGCUGGCGUAAUGGCCUCUAGCGACCCGUCUUGAAACACGGACCAAGGAGUUGACCUAGCGUGCGAGUGUUUGGGUGUCAAGCCCUUACGCGCAGUGAAAGCGAAUGCAGGUGGGAGCUUCGGCGCACCAUCGACCGAUCCUGAAGUUUACGGAUGGAUUUGAGUAAGAGCACGUUGGGUCUGACCCGAAAGAAGGUGAACUAUGCAUGAAUAGGGUGAAGCCAGAGGAAACUCUGGUGGAGGCUCGCAGCGGUUCUGACGUGCAAAUCGAUCGUCAAAUUUGUGCAUGGGGGCGAAAGAC